rnacentral:rRNA from 13 species
CGAAAGAGCAGCUAAUACCGCAUACGACCUGAGGGUGAAAGCGGGGGAUCGCAAGACCUCGCGCGAUUGGAGCGGCCGAUAUCAGAUUAGGUAGUUGGUGAGGUAAAGGCUCACCAAGCCGACGAUCUGUAGCUGGUCUGAGAGGACGACCAGCCACACUGGGACUGAGACACGGCCCAGACUCCUACGGGAGGCAGCAGUGGGGAAUAUUGGA